UACGUAGGGUCCGAGCGUUGUCCGGGAUUAUUGGGCGUAAAGGGCUCGUAGGCGGUUUGUCGCGUCGGGAGUGAAAACACGGGGCUUAACCCCGUGCCUGCUUCCGAUACGGGCAGACUAGAGGUAUGCAGGGGAGAACGGAAUUCCUGGUGUAGCGGUGAAAUGCGCAGAUAUCAGGAGGAACACCGGUGGCGAAGGCGGCAUCCUGGACCAUUACUGACGCUGAGGCGCGAAAGCUAGGGGAGCAAACGGG
rnacentral:rRNA from 1 species